GACGAACGCUGGCGGCGUGCCUAAUACAUGCAAGUCGAGCGAACCAAUAAGAAGCUUGCUUUUUGUUGGUUAGCGGCGGACGGGUGAGUAACACGUGGGUAACCUGCCUGUAAGACCGGGAUAACUCCGGGAAACCGGUGCUAAUACCGGAUAGAUUAUCUUUCCGCAUGGAGAGAUAAGGAAAGAUGGCUAUUGCCAUAACUUACAGAUGGGCCCGCGGCGCAUUAGCUAGUUGGUGAGGUAACGGCUCACCAAGGCGACGAUGCGUAGCCGACCUGAGGGGGUGAUCGGCCACACUGGGACUGAGACACGGCCCAGACUCCUACGGGAGGCAGCAGUAGGGAAUCUUCCGCAAUGGACGAAAGUCUGACGGAGCAACGCCGCGUGAGCGAAGAAGGUCUUCGGAUCGUAAAGCUCUGUUGUUAGGGAAGAACAAGUAUCGGAGGAAAUGCCGGUACCUUGACGGUACCUGACGAGAAAGCCACGGCUAACUACGUG
rnacentral:rRNA from 1 species